GACGAACGCUGGCGGCGCGCUUAACACAUGCAAGUCGAGCGAGAACCUGGCCUUCGGGCCUGGGGAAAGCGGCGAACGGGUGAGUAACACGUGGGUAACCCACCCUUGGUACUGGGAUAGCCCGGGGAAACCCGGAUUAAUACCGGAUGGCCCAACAGCUCUUCGGGGCGGUUGGAAAAGGUAGCUUCGGCCUCCGACCAAGGACGGGCCCGCGGCGGAUUAGCUUGUUGGUGGGGUAACGGCCUACCAAGGCGACGAUCCGUAGCUGGUCUGAGAGGACGAUCAGCCACACUGGGACUGAGACACGGCCCAGACUCCUACGGGAGGCAGCAGGGGGGAAUCUUGCGCAAUGGGCGAAAGCCUGACGCAGCGACGCCGCGUGGGGGAAGAAGGCUUUCGGGUUGUAAACCCCUUUCAGGAAGGACGAAGCCACUCGGGUGAAUAGCCCAGAGGGUGACGGUACUUCCAGAAGAAGCCCCGGCUAACUACGUGCCAGCCGCCGCCGUAAAAC
rnacentral:rRNA from 1 species